AGUAACAGCUACGAUCAUACCAGCACUAAUUGCAUUGCAUGUAGUAUGAGGAUGGGUGACCUCCCGGAAAGUCCUACUGUUGCAGCCCUCUUUUUUCGGUUUUUCUCUAUUUUGUUUUGUUAAAAAUGUAUAACUCUAUAACUUUAAGACCGUGAGGCCAACCUUGACAUGUGAUACCUUUUCGGAAAGCCUAAAGAGAGCUCUCCGAUGAAAGAGGAAGGAAAAUGGAAUUCUUCUAUUGUUUUUUUUUCUUCUCCAAAUUUUGACCUUAAUGUACUUUUUCGAGCCUUUUCGUGAUCUUUGCUAUAUUACGGGGCAAAAUUAUAUGUUCGGACAAUGUUUUCGAAUAUUUUGUAUCUAUCAAAGCUCUUAUAAACAAGAUAGGGUAUUCCUACAUAGCUGGUGGGACCCAUGGCAAAUGAAUCAUAAAGUCUUCAAAAAGGAAUAGAUACGAUUGCAUUGCAUGUAGUAACAGAUGGGAUCAUACCAGCACUAAUGCACCGGAUCCCAUCAGAACUCCGCAGUUAAGCGUGCUUGGGCGAGAGUAGUACUAGGAUGGGUGACCUCGAGGAAUGUCCUCGUGUUGCAUCCCUCUUUUUUUUUCGGUUUUUCUCUUUUUU
rnacentral:sRNA from 1 species